rnacentral:lncRNA from 1 species
CGGCCGCGCCAACUCCGGCGUCGGGAACACUCACCGCAGGACGCUUUGCCCUCCUUGGAAUCGCAGUAGCCGCAGUGGUAGCCGGCCCUGAGGCCCUUGUAUUCCACCACCGACGCCAUGGCCGCCGCGAGGGUCCGCUCGGGCCGACCACGCCUCUUGGCGCCCGGGGCCGACCUCGGCGAAGCGCUGGGGCCCGCGGCGGGAGGGGUGGAGAGCGAAGCCUGGCGCGGGGACCCGUGGGCGGGGAUGGUGGUCGUGUCCCCAAGCCCUGCGUUUGGGCCGGUGCUUCCCACAGCUGUGCGUUAUCAGCCCCAUUUCACAGCGGGACGUGGUGGCACGCGCCUGUAGUCCCAGCUACUCGGGAGGCUGAGGCAGGAGAAUGGCGUGAACCCGGGAGGCAGAGCUUGCAGUGAGCAGAGAUCGCGUCACUGCACUCCAGCCUGGGCGAAAGAGCGAGACUCCAUCUCAAAAAAAAAAAAAAAGAGUUCCAACAAGGUAAUAUGCCUUAUCUUUCCCUCUGCGUGCACAGAUAAUUUAAGCCUGUCUGUCCUCAUAGUUUUCCCAGUCAACAAUAAAGCUGAUGAUACAAUAUUGUUUUAAGUGUGUUUAAAAAAGUGAAAUGAAACUCAGAGAAAUAGAAAUAAAUUUUUGAGGUGAGUUUUGACAUUCUUGACCCCAAGGGCCUGUGUUAGAUAUGUACCUAGCUGAAGGAGGUUUCUUGGUGGCCUGGUGACUUGUUGAAGGGGGCCAGCCCCUCCACACCUGUGGGUGUUUCUCGUCAGGUGGGACGAGAGACUG